GACGGGAGCUGCUCCUUGAUUCAGCGGCGGACGGGUGAGUAAUGCCUAGGAAUAGCCUGGUAGUGGGGGACAACGUUCCGAAAGGAGCGCUAAUACCGCAUACGUCCUACGGGAGAAAGUGGGGGAUCUUCGGACCUCACGCUAUCAGAUGAGCCUAGGUCGGAUUAGCUAGUUGGUGAGGUAAAGGCUCACCAAGGCGACGAUCCGUAACUGGUCUGAGAGGAUGAUCAGUCACACUGGAACUGAGACACGGUCCAGACUCCUACGGGAGGCAGCAGUGGGGAAUAUUGGACAAUGGGCGAAAGCCUGAUCUCAUGUCCAUGCCGCGUGUGUGAAGAAGGUCUUCGGAUUGUAAAGCACUUUAAGUUGGGAGGAAGGGCAGUAAGUUAAUACCUUGCUGUUUUGACGUUACCGACAGAAUAAGCACCGGCUAACUCUGUGCCAGCAGCCGCGGUAAUACAGAGGGUGCAAGCGUUAAUCGGAAUUACUGGGCGUAAAGCGCGCGUAUGUGGUUCGUAAAGUGGGAUGUGAAAGCCCCGGGCUCAACCUGGGACCUGCAUCCAAAACUGGCCAGCUAAAGUAUGGUANAGGUGGUGGAUUUUCUGUGUACCGGUAAUGCGUAAUAUAUGAGGAACCCAUGCUAAGC
rnacentral:rRNA from 1 species